ACUAGGAUGGGGUCAGAGGAAGGUGUGGCAGAAAAUUCCAAAGGCGGACAGGGAAAGAAUUGAAAAACACUACUUAAGUACUCAACCUCGUGAUAACUUUUGGGCAGGACUCAAUAAUGAGAAAGUGACAAACCAUGAUCUCAAAGAUAUUGUAUGGGACCUGGAACUGUCACAAAACGUUAUUGAGGCCUAUAUCCAAAUAGAGGAGGAUAAAAUAGAGCCCAUGCAGAC